rnacentral:rRNA from 1 species
UACGUAGGGUGCAAGCGUUGUCCGGAAUUAUUGGGCGUAAAGAGCUCGUAGGCGGUCUGUCGCGUCGGUCGUGAAAACUUGGGGCUUAACCCUGAGCUUGCGGUCGAUACGGGCAUGACUGGAGUUCGGCAGGGGAGGACUGGAAUUCCUGGUGUAGCGGUGAAAUGCGCAGAUAUCAGGAGGAACACCGGUGGCGAAGGCGGGUCUCUGGGCCGAUACUGACGCUGAGGAGCGAAAGCGUGGGGAGCGAACAGG